CAGGAGCCCAGCCCAGACCUCAGCUAAAGUACGUGGUUUCCAAGAAUGAGGGACUAUAAAAGCAAUCAGAGAAAUUGCCUCUUCGGUCAUCACAGGAUGCUAAGACAACAAACCAAAUGACAAGCCAGAUGACUCAAGCAAAUCUUCAGAACCAGAGUUCCCAAAAUUCCUAAACCUCUUGGGCACGGAGAUCAUUGAGAAUGCAGUGGAGUUCAUCCUCCGCUCCAUGACCAGAAGCACAGGAUUUACGGAAUUUGAUGAUAAACGAGGAGAACAUUCAUCAAAGUGACCUCCCAAGUGUGGCUUGAUGAACCAUGCUAGAUCUGCGACCCGGAUCCGAACCUGUGAACCCCGGGCAGCCACUGAAGCGGAGCACGCACACUUAACCACUAUGUCACCGGGCCAGCCACCCCACCCCCUGUCCAGGACUUAAUUGAUUUUAUAACUGGAAGUUUGUAACCUUUGAGCACCUUCACCCUUUUCUCCCACCACUCCCUCUGCCCCUGGCAACCUCCAUUCUACUCUCUCUUUCUAUAAGUUCCAUUUCUUUCAGACUCCACAUAUAAAUGAGAUCAUAUAAUAUUUGUAUUUCUCUGUCUAACUUAGAUUAAUUCAUAUUGUUACAAAUGGCAGGAUUUCCUCCUUUUGAAAAGUUGAAUAAUAUUCCAUUAUAUAUACAUAUGUACACCACAUCUUCAUUAUCCAUUCAUCCAUAGAUGGACACCUAGGUUAUUUCCCUGUUGUGGCUAUUGCAAAUAAUGCUACAAUGAAGAUGAGGGUACAGAACUCUCUUCAAGAUAGUGAUUUCAUUUCCUUCAAAUAUAUACCCAGAAGUGGGAUUGUUGAAUCAUAUGGCAGUUCCAUUUUUAAUUUUUUGAGGAACUUCCAUACUGUUUUCCAUAAUGGCUGUACCCAUUGACAUUCCCACCAGCAGUGCACAAGGGUUUCCUUUUCUCCACAUCCUUGCCAGCCUUUGUUCUCUUGUCUCUUGAUAUUAGCCAUCUAACAGAUGUGAAGUGAUAUCUUAUUGUGGUUUUGAUUUGUAUUUCCCUGAUAAUUAGUGAUGUUGAGCACCUUUUCAUAUACCUCUUGGCCAUCUGUAUAUCUUCUUUGGAAAAAUGUUUAUUCAAGUCAUUUUCCCAUUUUUUUAAUCAGAUUAUUUGUUUUUUUGCUAUUGAGCUGUAUGAGUUCCUUAUAUAUUUUGGAAAUUAACCCCUUAUCAGAUAUAUGAUUUGCAAAUAUUUUCUCCCAUUUCAUUGGUUGCCUUUCACUUUGUUGAUUGUUUUGAGACUGCGCUGAUUUCAAAUAUCACAUUCUCUUAACCAAAUUGCCUAAGAUUUCUAUUGCGUUCACCAUCUGAUGUACAGACUGCUUCUCCCUAACAAAUGUGACCCAAAAUCUGUUUAUGAAUUCUAAGUGCCUCAUUUGAGACUGGAAAUACAUUUACUAUAACUAAAUUAAUCAGCAUAGUACCUCUCUGUGAGAAACAUGCCCUAUCCGAGCUUCUCUGUCUUUAUCUUCAACUGUUUGUUGUACAAUUUGAAAUCACUCUUACAAGUUGGUUAA
rnacentral:lncRNA from 1 species